AGAAUGCAUGGUCCUUAUAAUAUUUGAAGGUUUUGAUGGUAGCCUGUGAUUAGUGGGAUAUGUGUCAGAGAAGCACCAAAGCCAUUCAAAUCAACAUGCCUUGGAUGCACUACUGCUUGAUUUUUUGCUCUGUAUGUAGCUAACAAUAUCUAAACAGCUAUUUCAUUGUUCAUUUGUUUAAUUCUUUACAUUUUACAAUGGCCAAUUUGUUUUAAA